rnacentral:rRNA from 1 species
GGGAGUGAGGGCAUGGGUGCUAAGGUCCGUGCCCGAGAGGGAAACAACCCAGAUCAUCAGCUAAGGUCCCCAAAUAUAUGCUAAGUUGAACUAACGAGGUCUGACUGCAUUGACAGCUAGGAUGUUGGCUUGGAAGCAGCCAUUCAUUUAAAGAGUGCGUAACAGCUCACUAGUCGAGCGGUCGGGCAUGGAUAAUAAACGGGCAUUAAGCAUAUUACCGAAGCUAUGAAUUUCCGUCGUUAAGGCGGAUCUGGUAGGGGAGCAUUCCAGUCAGCGUUGAAGGUGUGUUGUAAAACAUGCUGGAGCGUCUGGAAAAGCAAAUGUAGGCAUAAGUAACGAUAAGGCAGGCGAGAAACCUGCCCACCGAAAGACUAAGGAUUCCUGAUCAACGCUAAUCGGAUCAGGGUUAGUCGGGGCCUAAGGCGAACCCGCUGUAGUGGCGGGGCAGUCGAUGGACAACUGGUUAAUAUUCCAGUACUGACCGGUAUUGCGAUGGAGUGACGGAGAAGUGAAAGCACCGCCUACUGACGGAAUAGUAGGUUGAAGGGCUUAGGUAUAGGCUUGGCAGGAAAAUCCGCCAGGCUUGCCGAAACCUGAUAGUACCGUGCGCCUUCGGGCAAGCGGAUAGUGUGUGUAAGCAGACUCCCAAGAAAACCUUCUAAGCAUCAGAUACCGGCCACCCGUACCGUAAACCGACACAGGUAGUCGAGGAGAGAAUCCAAAGGUGCUCGAGUGAAUCAUGGCUAAGGAACUAGGCAAAUUAACCCUGUAACUUCGGGAGAAAGGGUCCUCGUCAGUGAUGACGAGGCGCAGAGAAAUGGCCCAGGCGACUGUUUAUCAAAAACACAUGGCUUUGCAAAAUCGUAAGAUGAAGUAUAAGGCCUGACACCUGCCCGGUGCCGGAAGGUUAAGAGGAGAUGUUAUUUCUUCGGAGAGAAGCAUUGAAUUGAAGCCCCGGUAAACGGCGGCCGUAACUAUAACGGUCCUAAGGUAGCGAAAUUCCUUGUCGGGUAAGUUCCGACCUGCACGAAUGGUGUAACGAUCUGGGCACUGUCUCAGCCAUGAGCUCGGUGAAAUUGUAGUAACGGUGAAGAUGCCGUUUACCCGCAACGGGACGGAAAGACCCCGUGAACCUUCACUACAGCUUUGCAUUGACAUUGGAUAAACGAUGUGUAGGAUAGGUGGGAGACUAUGAAGCGGUGCCGCCAGGUGUCGUGGAGUCAACCUUGAAAUACCACCCUUUGUUUAUUUGAUGCCUAAUCCGCCGUACGGCGGAGACAGUGCAUGGUGGGUAGUUUGACUGGGGUGGUCGCCUCCAAAAGAGUAACGGAGGCUUCUAAAGGUACCCUCAGUACGGUUGGUAACCGUACGCAGAGUGCAAUGGCAUAAGGGUGCUUGACUGUGAGACCUACAAGUCGAGCAGGGACGAAAGUCGAGCAUAGUGAUCCGGUGGUUCCGCAUGGAAGGGCCAUCGCUCAAAGGAUAAAAGGUACUCCGGGGAUAACAGGCUGAUCACUCCCAAGAGCUCAUAUCGACGGAGUGGUUUGGCACCUCGAUGUCGGCUCGUCACAUCCUGGGGCUGGAGAAGGUCCCAAGGGUUCGGCUGUUCGCCGAUUAAAGUGGCACGCGAGCUGGGUUCAGAACGUCGCGAGACAGUUCGGUCCCUAUCUGUUGUGGGCGUUGGAAGCUUGAGAGGACCUGACCUUAGUACGAGAGGACCGGGUUGGACAAACCGCUAGUGUACCUGUUGUAGCGCCAGCUGCACCGCAGGGUAGCUAUGUUUGGAUGAGAUAAGUGCUGAAAGCAUCUAAGCACGAAACUUACCUCAAGAUGAGGCUUCCUUUAAGGGUCGUAGUAGACCACUACGUUGAUAGGCUGCAGGUGUAAAGCUGGUAACAGCAAAGCCGAGCAGUACUAAUUACCCGUAAGCUUUCUUAA